AUUGAACGCUGGCGGAAUGCUUUACACAUGCAAGUCGAACGGUAGAGGGGGCAACCCCUCGAGAGUGGCGAACGGGUGAGUAAUAUACCGGAACGUGCCCAGUCGUGGGGGAUAACGCAGUGAAAAUUACGCUAAUACCGCAUACGAUCUAUGGAUGAAAGCGGGGGAUCGCCAGACCUCGCGCGAUUGGCUCGGCGGAUAUCAGAUUAGGUAGUUGGUGGGGUAAAGGCCCACCAAGCCAACGAUCUGUAGCUGGUCUGAGAGGACGACCAGCCACACUGGAACUGAGACACGGUCCAGACUCCUACGGGAGGCAGCAGUGGGGAAUUUUGGACAAUGGGCGAAAGCCUGAUCCAGCCAUUCCGCGUGCAGGAUGAAGGCCCUCGGGUUGUAAACUGCUUUUGUACAGAACGAAAAGGUUUCUACUAAUACUAGGAGCUCAUGACGGUACUGUAAGAAUAAGCACCGGCUAACUACGUGCCAGCAGCCGCCGUAA
rnacentral:rRNA from 1 species